GUAGGGAAUCUUCGGCAAUGGACGCAAGUCUGACCGAGCAACGCCGCGUGAGUGAUGAAGGUUUUCGGAUCGUAAAACUCUGUUGUUAGAGAAGAACAAGAGAAGUAGUAACUGGCUUCUCCUUGACGGUAUCUAACCAGAAAGCCACGGCUAACUACGUGCCAGCAGCCGCGGUAAUACGUAGGUGGCAAGCGUUGUCCGGAUUUAUUGGGCGUAAAGCGAGCGCAGGCGGUCUUUUAAGUCUGAUGUGAAAGCCCACGGCUUAACCGUGGAGGGUCAUUGGAAACUGGGAGACUUGAGUGCAGAAGAGGAAAGUGGAACUCCAUGUGUAGCGGUGGAAUGCGUAGAUAUAUGGAAGAACACCAGUGGCGAAGGCGGCUUUCUGGUCUGUAACUGACGCUGAGGCUCGAAAGCGUGGGGAGCAAACAGGAUUAGAAACCCGUGUAGUCC
rnacentral:rRNA from 1 species